GACGAACGCUGGCGGCGUGCCUAAUACAUGCAAGUUGAGCGAUGAAGAUUGGUGCUUGCACCAAUUUGAAGAGCAGCGAACGGGUGAGUAACGCGUGGGGAAUCUGCCUUUGAGCGGGGGACAACAUUUGGAAACGAAUGCUAAUACCGCAUAACAACUUUAAACAUAAGUUUUAAGUUUGAAAGAUGCAAUUGCAUCACUCAAAGAUGAUCCCGCGUUGUAUUAGCUAGUUGGUGAGGUAAAGGCCCACCAAGGCGAUGAUACAUAGCCGACCUGAGAGGGUGGUCGGCCACAUUGGGACGGAGACACGGCCCAAACUCCUACGGGAGGCAGCAGUAGGGAAUCUUCGGCAAUGGACGAAAGUCUGACCGAGCAACGCCGCGUGAGUGAAGAAGGUUUUCGGAUCGUAAAACUCUGUUGGUAGAGAAGAACGUUGGUGAGAGUGGAAAGCUCAUCAAGUGACGGUAACUACCCAGAAAGGGACGGCUAACUACGUG
rnacentral:rRNA from 1 species